UACAGAGGGUGCAAGCGUUGUUCGGAAUUACUGGGCGUAAAGCGCGUGUAGGUGGCGAUGUAAGUCGGGUGUGAAAUCCCUCGGCUCAACCGAGGAAGUGCACUCGAUACUGUGUCGCUUGAGUGUUGGAGGGGAUGGCGGAAUUCCCGGUGUAGAGGUGAAAUUCGUAGAUAUCAGGAGGAACACCGGUGGCGAAAGCGGCUUCCUGGCCCGACACUGACGCUCAUGUACGAAAGCGUGGGGAGCAAACAGG
rnacentral:rRNA from 1 species